UACGUAGGGCGCGAGCGUUGUCCGGAAUUAUUGGGCGUAAAGAGCUCGUAGGCGGCCUGUUGCGUCCGCUGUGAAAUCCCGGGGCUUAACCCUGGGCGUGCAGUGGAUACGGGCAGGCUGGAGGCAGGCAGGGGGAGAACGGAAUUCCCGGGUGUAGCGGUGAAAUGCGCAGAUAUCGGGAGGAACACCGGUGGCGAAGGCGGUUCUCUGGGCCUGUGCUGACGCUGAGGAGCGAAAGCGUGGGGAGCGAACAGGAUUAGAACCGUACCGUCGAGAUCCAA
rnacentral:rRNA from 1 species